rnacentral:rRNA from 1 species
AUUGAACGCUGGCGGCAGGCCUAACACAUGCAAGUCGAGCGAGCGGCGGACGGGUGAGUAAUGUCUGGGAAACUGCCUGAUGGAGGGGGAUAACUACUGGAAACGGUAGCUAAUACCGCAUACCAUCAGAUGUGCCCAGAUGGGAUUAGCUAGUAGGUGGGGUAACGGCUCGCCUAGGCGACGAUCCCUAGCUGGUGUGAGAGGAUGACCAGCCACACUGGAAAUGAGACACGGUGCAGACGCCUAAGGGAGGAAGCAGUGGUGAAUAUGGAACAAUGGGCGCAAGCCUGAUACAGCCAUGCCGCGUGUGGGAAGAAGGCCUUCGGGUUGUAAAGUACUUUCAGCGGGGAGGCGUUACUCGCAGAAUAAGCACCGGCUAACUCCGUGCCAGCAGCCGCGGGAAUUC